GUGGAUUGAACGACAAUAAUCAAAGACAUAAACGAAGCUACCGAUUUAAUCACUAUCACCAGGUAAAAAAAAUAUAUAUAAAUAAAAAUAUGCAGAGGAUUUAAACAUUUCUGAUUGCUGGGUGUGAAUUCAUCAACCACACAGUGCAGCAGGUCUUAGCUCUGCAUAUGCUUGCUAGGAAGAUGCUGGAAUUCCAGAUAGGUGUUUGAAAUAGUUUGUACUAUUUAUUUUAAACUACAGAAAAGAUGCAUUUGACAUUUCAGCCAUAACAAUAGUUCAUAGUGUCUCAGCGACUGAAAUACUGCCUCAUUAUUUCGUGUUAUGUUCUGCCGUGUUUCUACUGAUUGGACCAAGGUCGGGGUCAGUGUAUCUGAGUGACUUCAGUGUUAUCUGUAGCUGUUUUAUAAAAAGACAAGGCUGAACCAUUAGAAGUAGUGGAAAUUCAUCAAACUCCUUCUUGGAAUUGGGAUGUGUUCAGGGGUGGUCAUGGUGGGACUGGUUUAACAUGUCAACAUGGAAAACGGCUCUGGUAAAAAUAAGGGUGAUCAUAGGGAUAGUAUUGUUGGUGUUGUUAUUCGCCUCAUGUUGUGUAACAAAAUGGUAAAUGGACUGCAUUUAUAUAGCGCUUUUAUCCAAAGUGCUUUACAAUUGAUGCUUCUCAUUCACCCAUUCACACACACGCUCACACACCAAAGGUGAAAGGCUGCCAUGCAAAGUACCAAUCAACUAAUUGGGAGCAA